UUUGGUCUCAUUGAUAUUUUUACUUCAUGACAAAAUGGUUAGUUUUGUCAUUAUAGUCAGUUCAACAAUCAAGGUCACAUUUCUUUUUCCCCCCAGAAAGGAGAAAAAUACAUGUUUGUUGUAUGUGUUUGUGUUGUGUAUGAUAGCAUUCAUUUUAUAAAAACCAGUGGAGCGUUUAUAUUCACUCCACGGAAUUAUAAAAAGAACACAAAUCAUAUACUUGAAAAGGAACGGUUCACGGAUCGUGAAAAAAGAAGAGAGUGUUGAAACCCUCUUUUUUAUUCAUUGUUUUUGGGGGGUGUGGUAAUGAUCCUUCCGCAGGUUCACCUACGGAAA
rnacentral:misc_RNA from 1 species